rnacentral:rRNA from 1 species
AUUGAACGCUGGCGGCAUGCCUUACACAUGCAAGUCGAACGGUAACGCGGGGCAACCUGGCGACGAGUGGCGAACGGGUGAGUAAUACAUCGGAACGUGCCCAGUAGUGGGGGAUAGCCCGGCGAAAGCCGGAUUAAUACCGCAUACGACCUACGGGUGAAAGCAGGGGAUCGCAAGACCUUGCGCCAUUGGAGCGGCCGAUGUCAGAUUAGGUUGUUGGUGGGGUAAAGGCCUACCAAGCCGACGAUCUGUAGCUGGUCUGAGAGGACGACCAGCCACACUGGGACUGAGACACGGCCCAGACUCCUACGGGAGGCAGCAGUGGGGAAUUUUGGACAAUGGGCGCAAGCCUGAUCCAGCCAUGCCGCGUGCGGGAAGAAGGGCCCUUCGGGUUGGUAAACCGCCUUUUGUCAGGGAAGAAACGCUCCGGGCUAAUACCUCGGGGUAAUGACGGUACCUGAAGAAUAAGCACCGGCUAACUACGUGCCAGCAGCCGCGGUAAU